rnacentral:rRNA from 1 species
AUUGAACGCUGGCGGCAGGCCUAACACAUGCAAGUCGAGCGGCAGCGGGACCUUCGGGUUGCCGGCGAGCGGCGGACGGGUGAGUAAUGCCUAGGAAUCUGCCUGUUAGUGGGGGAUAACGCGGGGAAACUCGCGCUAAUACCGCAUACGUCCUACGGGAGAAAGCGGGGGCUCUUCGGACCUCGCGCUAACAGAUGAGCCUAGGUCGGAUUAGCUAGUUGGUGGGGUAAUGGCCCACCAAGGCGACGAUCCGUAACUGGUCUGAGAGGAUGAUCAGUCACACUGGAACUGAGACAAGGUCCAGACUCCUACGGGAGGCAGCAGUGGGGAAUAUUGGACAAUGGGCGAAAGCCUGCUCCAGCCAUGCCGCGUGUGUGAAGAAGGUCUUCGGAUUGUAAAGCACUUUAAGUCGGGAGGAAGGGCUGUAGGCUAAUACCUUGCAGUUUUGACGUUACCGACAGAAUAAGCACCGGCUAACUUCGUGCCAGCCGCCGCGGUAAGAC